rnacentral:rRNA from 1 species
UACAGAGGGUGCAAGCGUUGUUCGGAAUUAUUGGGCGUAAAGCGCGUGUAGGCGGUGAUGCAUGUCGGGUGUGAAAGCCCUCAGCUUAACUGAGGAAGUGCGCCCGAAACUGCAUCGCUGGAGUGUCGGAGAGGAAGGCGGAAUUCCCGGUGUAGAGGUGAAAUGCGCAGAUAUCGGGAAGAACACCCGUGGCGAAGGCGGCUCUCUGGGACGGUACUGACGCUGAGACGCGAAAGCGUGGGGAGCGAACAGG